GUGCGUCUUCAGGGCGGGGUGAAAUUCCCCACCGGCGGUAUGCCGGCCGCGCCGCAAGGCAAGGCCGACGAGCCCGCGAGCGCCUGCGCGAAGCCUUUCGCGCAGGGUCAGCAGAUCUGGUGCGAUGCCAGGGCCGACGGUCAUAGUCCGGAUGAAAGAAGAUGUGC
rnacentral:ncRNA from 2 species